GGGGAAGUGUUGUAAAUAAACCAAACUAUGUCGUUUUGUUAAAAAGAGCUUAUCUGUUAUUCUUGUACAUUGCCUUAUAAAGGCAACUUUCAUCUAAAUGAGAAUUACUCAGCUCUCGCAUUCUCUUACUUUUCUCAAUCUCUCCCUUACUCUUUCUGUUGCAUUCACUUCAUACACCUCUGCAUUAUCAGUUAACAUCCUCGUUCUUAUUGCGGCG
rnacentral:lncRNA from 1 species